UGGUCAUUUUGCCAACCGGGUGUCUGCACUAAGUUCAGCAUCAAUCUGGUGACCUCCUGGGAGCAGGGGGCCACCAGGUUGCCUAAGGAUGAGUGAACUGGCCCAGAUCAGAAAGGGAGCAGGUCAGAACUCCCGCACCAACUGGUAGUGGGACUGUGCCUGGGCAAUAUAGCA
rnacentral:SRP_RNA from 1 species